AAAACGACUCUCGGCAACGGAUAUCUAGGCUCUCGCAUCGAUGAAGAACGUAGCAAACUGCGAUACUUKGUGUGANUUGCAGAAUCCCGUGAACCAUCGAGUUUUUGAACGCAAGUUGCGCCCGAAGCCAUUAGGCCGAGGGCACGUCUGCCUGGGUGUCACG
rnacentral:rRNA from 1 species